UGGGCACCGAGGCCGGGGACGUGCUGGUGCUGGACCCCGAGGCCUUCACGGUCAUCUGCAAGGGCUGGGUGCCGUCCCCCCCCGCCUUCGUGGUGCCGCGGGGUCCCGGGGACGGGCGCUGCCGGCUGGUGGUGGCCUGCAGGACGGGACCCUGCGGGGGCUGAGCCGGUCCCGGGAGCAGGGCAGGAUUUUGGGGGUGCUGGGCUCGCGCCCGCCGGGCUGAUCCCACAGGACGGGG